GAUGAACGCUGGCGGCGUGCCUAAUACAUGCAAGUCGAGCGAACAGACGAGGAGCUUGCGCCUCUGACGUUAGCGGCGGACGGGUGAGUAACACGUGUAUAACCUACCUAUAAGACUGGGAUAACUUCGGGAAACCGGCGCUAAUACCGGAUAAUAUAUUGAACCGCAGGGUUCAAUAGUGAAAGACGGUUUUGCUGUCACUUCUAGAUGGAUCUGGGCCGCAUUGGCUAGUUGUGAAGGUGACGGCCUAGCAAGGCAACGAUGCGUAGCCGACGUGAGAGGGGGAUAGGCCACAUGGGAACUGAGCCACGGUCAAGGCUCCUACGGGACGCAGCAGACGGGAAUCUUACGCAAUAGGCGAAAGCAUUGCGGAGCAACGCGGAGUGAGUGAUAGAGGUCUUCGGAUCGUAAAAAUCUGUUAUUAGGGAAGAACAAAUGUGUAAGUAACUAUGCACGUAUUGACGGUACCUAAUCAGAAAGCCCCGGCUAACUACGUG
rnacentral:rRNA from 1 species